AGCGCGAAGGCGGUCAGGGCGGGCAGGCAGCA
rnacentral:SRP_RNA from 14 species